rnacentral:rRNA from 1 species
CCUACGGGAGGCAGCAGUGGGGAAUAUUGCACAAUGGGGGAAACCCUGAUGCAGCGACGCCGCGUGAAGGAAGAAGUAUUUCGGUAUGUAAACUUCUAUCAACAGGGACGAAAGAAAUGACGGUACCUGAGUAAGAAGCCCCGGCGAACUACGUGCCAGCAGCCGCGGUAAUACGGAGGGGGCAAGCGUAAUUCGGAAUUACUGGGUGUAAAGGGUGAGUAGGGGGCAUGGUAAGCCAGAUGUGAAAGCCUUGGGCUUAACCCGAGGAUUGCAUUUGGAACUAUCAAGCAAGAGUACAGGAGAGGAAAGCGGAAUGCCUAGUGUAGCGGUGAAAUGCGUAGAUAUUAGGCAGAACACCAGUGGCGAAGGCGGCUUUCUGGACUGAAACUGACGCUGAGGCACGAAAGCGUGGGGAGCGAACAGGAUUAGAUACCCCAGUAGUC